rnacentral:rRNA from 1 species
CGCAUCUGUGCAUGCAGCAUAUCAAUAAGCGGAGGAAAAGAAACUAACAAGGAUACCCCUAGUAACGGCGAGUGAAGCGGGAAGAGCUCAAAUUUGAAAUCUUAAAGGGUUUCCCUUUACGAAUUGUAGUUUAAAGAAGUGUUUUCUGUUGAGGUUUUGGUAAAAGUUCUUUGGAAUAGGACAUCAUAGAGGGUGAGAAUCCCGUAUUUGACCUUUACUUUCAACUUUGUGAUACACUUUCAAAGAGUCGGAUUGUUUGGGAAUGCAGUCCAAAAUGGGUGGUAAAUUUCAUCUAAAGCUAAAUAUUGGCGAGAGACCGAUAGCGAACAAGUACCGUGAGGGAAAGAUGAAAAGAACUUUGAAAAGAGAGUUAAACAGUACGUGAAAUUGUCAAAAGGGAAGCGUUUGACACCAGUGUUGUUUUUCUGAAAAUCAAUUAAAGAACUGUUUAUGCUAAGCUGUUUAGACUUUAUCAGCUAUCUGUUUAGUUUUAGGCUUUUCUUUAAUGCACUUUUCAGUUAACAAGUCAACAUCAAUUUCUUUUGCUGUAAAAAAGCUUGAGGAAGGUGGCUUGAGAUUCGUCUUAAGUGUUUAUAGCCUCUUGCCUAUGCAGUCGGAGAGAUUGAGGUCUGCAGCGUAGAUCCUUCGGGGCUAAAUGCAUUUGUGCUAAGUUAUAACAUUUUAUAGACAACUUGUUGACUAUGAUUUGUCUUGUAGCUUACUCGCUUAUGUUAUUUUACCUACGCUUAGGAUGUUGAACGCGCACAGAGUCUC